UGGGGAAUAUUGGACAAUGGGCGAAAGCCUGAUCCAGCCAUGCCGCGUGUGUGAAGAAGGUCUUCGGAUUGUAAAGCACUUUAAGUUGGGAGGAAGGGUAGUAAGCGAAUACCUUGCUGUUUUGACGUUACCGACAGAAUAAGCACCGGCUAACCCUGUGCCAGCAGCCGCGGUAAUACAGAGGGUGCAAGCGUUAAUCGGAAUUACUGGGCGGAAAGCGCGCGUAGGUGGUUCGUUAAGUUGAAUGUGAAAGCCCCGGGCUCGACCUGGGAACUGCAUCCAAAACUGGCGGGCUAGGAUAGGGCAGAGGGUGGUGGAAUUUCCUGUGGAGCGGUGAGAUGCAUAGAUAAAGGAAGGAACACCAGUGGCGAAGGCGACCACCUGGGCUCAUACUGACACUAAGGUGCGAAAGCGUGGGGAGCAAACAGG
rnacentral:rRNA from 1 species